UGAUAUUUCUUCUAAGUGUGUUUGUUUUAUGUGUUGGGAAGAAUUUCUUUAAAAAUUCUCUUGUCAUUUCUUGCCAAGUAGCUAUGGUCCUAGGCCUUAAGGAGUGUAACCAUGAUUUAGCUUUUUCUUUUAAAGAAAAAGGAAAUAACUUAAGCUUAACUACCUCUUCAGUGACAUCAUUGAAAUGAAGUGUUGAACAUACUUCAUCAAAUUCUUUAAGAUGCAAAUAGGGACUUUCAGAAUCAAGUCCGUGAAACUUUGGGAGUAAUUGGAUUAUU
rnacentral:lncRNA from 1 species